GGCCACUAAACUAUCCCUGUCACCAGUUUAACAUUAAUAUUUGGAAACUUUCCAUUACCCCUAAAUCACUCACAUGCAAAUUGACUGAACUGGAGGUUGUCAUUAGCAGAUUAUCUUUAGCUCUGUCUCUAUGAGGUCGCAGAGAACAGUCUAAGUGAUGAAGUGCACGUUCUUGAGGUGAAAUGCUAUGUAGCGCUUCCCACUGCUUCACAAGCAAAUCCACUGCCGGGAAAAGGACCGACGAUGACAUCACUGUGGUUAUUCCAGUGACUUUCCAGCUUCAAAUUUGGAGGCAAAUUUUCCAUAAGAGGAUUAAGUACCAGUAUCUUCGAAUGCUGAUAAAGUGUUAUUUAAGUCCCACCUGUUCACAACUGUGUUAUCAUAUACACUACAUACUGAGAUUUUCAAUCUUUCACAGCACAUUAACAAAUCAGGCAAACUGGACUAGCACGAUCAAAACAGAUGUAUGUUACAGAGCGCACAGGAUUCUGACGGGGAAACAAUCAGGAAGUCGUUUUCUUUAG
rnacentral:lncRNA from 1 species